rnacentral:tRNA from 1 species
GGGGGCGUAGCUCAGUUGGGAGAGCGCAUCCUUCGCACGGAUGAGGUCACCGGUUCGAAUCCGGCCGCCUCCACCA